GCGAUUCGUGGGGGCUGACUUGGAACGGGACCGAGGGGGCGGGACUUGCUGCGAGCGUGGCGUGAGUGGAAGGCUGAGCGAGUGGUGUACACACGGCUCACACGUGUCCGGCUGCAAAAUCGGGGGUGAUGAUGGGGAGGGAGGAAGCGGCCAGGAGAUCCCAAGGCGAAGCAAAUGAAGGGAAUGAGGCUUUCUCUGGCAGCUGUGAAAAGAUGACAGACACCCUGGUUAAAGGAGCGUGAAGGGAGUCAAAGCAAACGGAGGGUCUUCAGGGCUCCAAACUGGUGACUAGUUGUAUGAAGCAAGUUACACGGGGUUUCAGCGUUCCCAAAAAGGUACUUCGUCAUAGCUCCAUAAGCAUGGCCAACCUAAAGGAUGAGAACCUCUGGAAUGUGUGUCAUACCAUGUCACAUUUUAUUCCCAGCUGUGAACUGUUGGGGACUGCUAGAACCUUGAACAAAAUGGAGUCUGUCAACCGUUUCUUGGCCUUCUGACUACGUGACUACGAGCACACAUGCCCUUGAGACAAAGGAAAAGGCUAACCAUAAAAGUUAAAUUUACACAGGGCAGCCCACCCACUUCUUUCACGGAGAUUUUCUUAAAUGCCUAGAACCAAAAAGUCACUUGGUCUUUGCCAAUGGGCUCAGUACUUGCUGAGGCAUGCUUUCUACUUCCAGCCAGGUAGUUUUUAUAUUACUUCACUUCCUGCCUGUAUAGAGCCUCAAGUUUAAUUGAUGGUAAGAAAGUAAGAAUUCCUCCGGUCUUUCCUGCCUACACAUACAGCCUUGAGUAUGCACAUAGCUAAUGUAGGGGUAUGUUCUAGAUUCCCAGGAACAUCUCAAAACUCUCCAAAACCCCAUACAGAUACCACACUCCCUAACGUUUCCUUGUAAGCGUUUUAAUUAGCUUAUCCUUUGCCCCCAUUGUUAUCUACUGUCACAGAAUGCCAACACGUUAACCAGUUGCUUCUUGUAGUUUAGACAAAUGUCCCUGCCAUGUCCAGCAUGGUUCCAGGUCAGCAAGGGAAUAAAAAGAAGACACACCCGGGCGGUGGUAGCGCACGCCUUUAAUCCCAGCACUCGGGAGGCAGAGGCAGGCGGAUCUCUGUGAGUUCGAGGCCAGGCUGGACCGACAGCCUCCAAAACAAUACAGAGAAACCCUGUCUCGUAAAACCAAAAAAAAAAAAAAGAAGACACACACACACACACACACUUGGAAAAUCUGGAAUCCGGUGGGUUGGGUUCUCUGAUGAAAGAAGCUCAGCGUGUUAAAAUACAGUGGAACAGAGAGGCGUAUACAACAGAAUGAAGAGUCAGAAUAUCACAUACAGAUAAACAAGGAGUCAAGGUUUAUGGUAUACAGCUGGAUCUAGGAGGCAGGUUUAGCUAAUCUCCAUAGCAAUUUCUAUAGGGGAGCAGUCUUUAGGUGGUAAGUCUCUGGAGAGGGAGGAAUCUAUGGUGGACCUUUUCUGCACACAUUAUCAACAUCUACACAUGGACCAGGGGAAGUCUUUUCAGUCUUCUGAGCUGGGGUAAGGGAAGGUUUUACCACUUUACCACAGGUCUGAAGCUAUGGGAUCCUUGACAUGACUGUGCCCCGUGUCAGCAACACACAUUCACUCAGGACUUCCUCCAUUCCCCCACAGUCCAUAAAAAACAUCUGCUCCUUGCAGGCUGCAAGUCAGAUCAAAUAAAAAUAACCUCUUUUUCA